CGCGGGGUGGAGCAGCCCGGUAGCUCGCCAGGCUCAUAACCUGGAGGUCGCAGGUUCAAAUCCUGCCCCCGCAACCA
rnacentral:tRNA from 2 species